rnacentral:rRNA from 1 species
UACGGGGGGGCAAGCGUUGUUCGGAAUUACUGGGCGUAAAGGGCUCGUAGGCGGCCAACUAAGUCGGACGUGAAAUCCCCAGGCUCAACCUGGGAACUGCGUCCGAUACUGGAUGGCUUGAAUCCGGGAGAGGGAUGCAGAAUUCCAGGUGUAGCGGUGAAAUGCGUAGAUAUCUGGAGGAAUACCGGUGGCGAAAGCGGCUCACUGGACCAUAACUGACGCUGAGGUGCGAAAGCUAGGGUAGCAAACGGG